rnacentral:rRNA from 1 species
AUUGAACGCUGGCGGCAUGCCUUACACAUGCAAAUCGAACGGUAACGGGCCUUCGGGUGCCGACGAGUGGCGAACGGGUGAGUAAUACAUCGGAACGUGCCCGAUCGUGGGGGAUAACGAGGCGAAAGCUUUGCUAAUACCGCAUACGAUCUACGGAUGAAAGCAGGGGACCGCAAGGCCUUGCGCGGACGGAGCGGCCGAUGGCAGAUUAGGUAGUUGGUGGGAUAAAAGCUUACCAAGCCGACGAUCUGUAGCUGGUCUGAGAGGAUGAUCAGCCACACUGGGACUGAGACACGGCCCAGACUCCUACGGGAGGCAGCAGUGGGGAAUUUUGGACAAUGGGCGCAAGCCUGAUCCAGCCAUGCCGCGUGCAGGAUGAAGGCCUUCGGGUUGUAAACUGAUUUUGUACGGAACGAAAAGCCUUCUUUUAAUACAGGAGGGUCAUGACGGUGCCGGAAGAAUAAGCACCGGCUAACUACGUG